GACGAACGCUGGCGGCGUGCUUAACACAUGCAAGUCGAACGGAAAGGCCCUGCUUUUGUGGGGUGCUCGAGUGGCGAACGGGUGAGUAACACGUGAGUAACCUGCCCUUGACUGUGGGAUAACUUCAGGAAACUGGGGCUAAUACCGGAUAGGAGCUCCUGCUGCAUGGUGGGGGUUGGAAAGUUUCGGCGGUUGGGGAUGGACUCGCGGCUUAUCAGCUUGUUGGUGGGGUAGUGGCUUACCAAGGCUUUGACGGGUAGCCGGCCUGAGCGGGUGACCGGCCACAUUGGGACUGAGCUACGGCCCAGACUCCUACGGGAGGCAGCGGUGGGGAAUAUUACACAAUGGGCGGAAGCCUGAUGUAGCCACGCCGCGUGCGGGAUGACGGCAUUCGGGUUGUAAACCAAUUUCGCCUGUGACGAAGCGUUAGUGACGGUAAUGGGUAAAGAAGCACCGGCUAACUACGUG
rnacentral:rRNA from 1 species